rnacentral:tRNA from 1 species
GUGGUUGUAGCUCAACGGUAGAGUGCUUACCUAGCAUGUGUGAGGCCCUGGGUUCAAUACUCAGCACCACA